UACGUAGGUCUCGAGCGUUAUCCGGAGUUACUGGGCGUAAAGAGUCCGUAGCCGGCGAAUUAAGUCUACUUUCAAAGACCGAGGCUCAACUUCGGGAAGGGAGUAGAUACUGAUGAGCUAGAGGCAGAUAGAGGUUAGUAGAAUUUCCAGUGGAGGGGUGGAAUCCGUUGAUAUUGGAAGGAAUGCCAAAAGCGAAAGCAGCUAACUAUAUCUGAGCUGACGGUAAAGGACGAAAGCAUGGGUAGCAAACAGGAUUAGAUACCCUGGUAGUCCAUGCUGUAAACGAUCCUCGCUAGAUGUCUAUACAGAGUAUAGGUGUCGUAAGUUAACACGUUAAGCGGGGCGCCUGGGGAGUAUAGUCGCAAGACCGAAACUCAAAGGGAUAGGUGGGGGAACACACAAGCGGUGGAUUGCCUCGAUUAAUUGGAUAAUAAGCCAAGAAUCUUACCUGGGCUUGACAUCUAUAGAAUCUAUUAGAGAUGAUAGAGUGCCUAGCUUGCUAGGAGCUAUAAGACAGGUGCUGCAUGGCCGUCGUCAGCUCGUGCCGCAAGGUGUCCGGUUAAGUCCGGGAACGAGCGCAACCCUUAUUGUUAGUUAGAAUGUCUAACAAGACUGCUGUCGCAAGGCAGAGGAAGGAGGGGAUAACGUCAGGUCAUUAUGGCCCUUAUGCCCAGGGCGUCAGAGGCAAUACAAUGGGUAGUACAGAGGGAAGCAAAAACGAGAGUUAGAGCAAAACCCAAAAGCUAUCCUAAGUGCGGAUUGUAGUCUGGAAUUCGACUACAUGAAGUUGGAAUCGCUAGUAAUGGUGAAUCAGCCAUGUCACCGUGAAUAUGUCCCUGUUCCU
rnacentral:rRNA from 1 species